GACGAACGCUGGCGGCGUGUUUACACAUGCAAGUCGAACGGAAAGGCCCUGCUUUUGUGGGGUGCUCGAGUGGCGAACGGGUGAGUAACACGUGAGUAACCUGCCCUUGACUUUGGGAUAACUUCAGGAAACUGGGGCUAAUACCGGAUAGGAGCUCCUGCUGCAUGGUGGGGGUUGGAAAGUUUCGGCGGUUGGGGAUGGACUCGCGGCUUAUCAGCUUGUUGGUGGGGUAGUGGCUUACCAAGGCUUUGACGGGUAGCCGGCCUGAGAGGGUGACCGGCCACAUUGGGACUGAGAUACGGCCCAGACUCCUACGGGAGGCAGCAGUGGGGAAUAUUGCACAAUGGGCGGAAGCCUGAUGCAGCAACGCCGCGUGCGGGAUGACGGCCUUCGGGUUGUAAACCGCUUUCGCCUGUGACGAAGCGUGAGUGACGGUAAUGGGUAAAGAAGCACCGGCUAACUACGUGCCAGCAGCCGCGGUGAUACGUAGGGUGCGAGCGUUGUCCGGAUUUAUUGGGCGUAAAGGGCUCGUAGGUGGUUGAUCGCGUCGGAAGUGUAAUCUUGGGGCUUAACCCUGAGCGUGCUUUCGAUACGGGUUGACUUGAGGAAGGUAGGGGAGAAUGGAAUUCCUGGUGGAGCGGUGGAAUGCGCAGAUAUCAGGAGGAACACCAGUGGCGAAGGCGGUUCUCUGGGCCUUUCCUGACGCUGAGGAGCGAAAGCGUGGGGAGCGAACAGGCUUAGAUACCCUGGUAGUCCACGCUGUAAACGGUGGGUACUAGGUGUGGGGUCCAUUCCACGGGUUCCGUGCCGUAGCUAACGCUUUAAGUACCCCGCCUGGGGAGUACGGCCGCAAGGCUAAAACUCAAAGGAAUUGACGGGGCCCCGCACAAGCGGCGGAGCAUGCGGAUUAAUUCGAUGCAACGCGUAGAACCUUACCUGGGUUUGACAUGGAUCGGGAGCGCUCAGAGAUGGGUGUGCCUCUUUUGGGGUCGGUUCACAGGUGGUGCAUGGCUGUCGUCAGCUCGUGUCGUGAGAUGUUGGGUUAAGUCCCGCAACGAGCGCAACCCUUGUUCACUGUUGCCAGCACGUUAUGGUGGGGACUCAGUGGAGACCGCCGGGGUCAACUCGGAGGAAGGUGAGGAUGACGUCAAGUCAUCAUGCCCCUUAUGUCCAGGGCUUCACGCAUGCUACAAUGGCUGGUACAGAGAGUGGCGAGCCUGUGAGGGUGAGCGAAUCUCGGAAAGCCGGUCUCAGUUCGGAUUGGGGUCUGCAACUCGACCUCAUGAAGUCGGAGUCGCUAGUAAUCGCAGAUCAGCAACGCUGCGGUGAAUACGUUCCCGGGGCU
rnacentral:rRNA from 1 species